AAAUCUUACAUCUCUCCCCUUCCAUUCGCCCAAAACUCUGCAAUCAGGCGCAUGUUCCGCUCCUUCUAAAACAGGAGCUGCUUUUUGGGGAAGGUCCCAUUUUAAUCAUUCACCUAAAAGCAAUGUGGGUUUUUUCCCCCCGUUUUUAUCUCAGCCCCAUGCGACUGUUCUUUUUUUUUUCUCUCUUUACAGGAGUUACUCGGCUCUGGUGUUCAUUUUAAUCCGGAGCUUCAUGACUAAACGGCCCCGCAGUGCUGAGCUGCUUGCCAGCAUGGAGGCCACGACCCCAAACGGACGCUGUAGGAGUGAGUGAAUGUAUCUUGCACAUACUGCCCCAGUUUUUCACUGUAUGUGCAAAUAUUCAAAUGUAAACUGGGUAGGUUCUCAUCUUCACUCAAUUUAAUUUGGCGUUCUUAUCUUAUCAGCUGUAGUCUGCGGGUUUUCCAUCUGCUUGAUGUCAUGAUUUUACGUGUUUGAGUUCUUAUCCUCUGAGUCACAGUGGUGCAAGUUUUUCCUAACAGUUCUUGUCCUUUAUGCUGCACAAUUAAACAGUGACUAAACUUAACUUUAUUUGAAGAGGAACAUCUUUUUUGAGUGCACUCAUGUUCCACAUGUAGCCCUCUUUGGCCCCGACUUUCCUCUGGGGCGACCGCUUAGGUUUACUCCACUCGAUUGCUCUCUUGGCCACUACUCAAACACAGCUUUGCUUUCUCAAACACACACACACACACACACUCCAAACACACACACUCAGGAGAACUUCCACACUAAGGCCCCACCGCAAAGUUAUUAAUGAGCUGUUUAAUUUUAAUUAGAUAGUAAUUCAUGUUAAUGCCUGCUUAAUGGAGCCAAAUAAUUCCCCUCGGUCACUCGGGGUCUUUAUGCUUCAUUUACCAGCCCCUGCAGUUAUUCUCUGGCUUUUGUUUUUAUUUUACAUUUUCAAAUCUUUUUUUAUUUAUUUAUUUUUUGAAGCCGUGAGUGAAAGAUUAAACAGUCAAAACAGGAAACAUAUGGGGUGAGUGAAGUGUGUGUCUGCUGAGAGUGAGAACCAGCACCCAUAUGUUUGUGCUCAUUUUACUUUAAUGGGUGUGUGUCUGUCAAAUGUUGAAUUUCUCAGACACACAAAGACACGCACGCACGCACGCACGCAUACACACUGACCAACAAUCCACUACAGUAAAUUGCUUAACAUCAGCGCUAAGAAAAGGUCAAAGUCGGUUUUGAAGGCUAAGAAGGGUUAAACCCUCAGUUUGAGGUGCAGUUAACCAAGAGAGGUUGUGACCUUUUGUCCAUGCCAGACCUCAAGGUAAAUCACUCCUGCCUGCUGUUGUCAUGCCCGCUUCUACUCCUGCUUCCCAAACGAAACAUCCUCUCCACGGGUUCAAAGACAAGGCUGCAAAUAAAUGACCAUAGUAGCUAAAACUUGUUUGAGUGAAAAGGAGUGGCGAGUUUGUUUAUUUUGUGUCCAGUGAUUUGUGGAGGAUUAUUUCCUGAACAUUACAUCUAAUAAUUUAGAUAUAGAGGAUAUAGAGUGGAUAUGUAAAUUUCUUUGCCAUAACAGCUGACAUAGGUGAACUAUUUUUGCUUCUACAUUAUUUAAAUAUCACCAAAAGAGCUAAAUUUUUGCAAUGCCAAUUUAAGAAAAAUGACUAUAACCCUUAAGUCUUCUAAUCAAUGUAACAUAAACAUACAAAUUAUUUGGUGUAUUUAUUUUUUUAAAGAAUAUUUUGGCUCUAGGGGCCUUUAUUUCACAGUAGAUUGACAAAUAAGUGGGUUAUGGGAGAUGGAGAAGACAUGGGGCAAAGGUCAGUGGGCCAGGACUCACAGCCAUAGUUUAGAUGGCUGUGUUGGGAACUGAGGCCUCCGUGCGUAUGUCGCUUCCACCGCUGCAUCUUUUAAACCCAUCCACUGAUCUGUAGUCGCUCCAUUUUCUACUUGUGCAACAACUUUUUGCCCAAAGUAUUUGAAACUCCACAUCUUUGAACUGCUACAUUUAAACAAUCAGAUGGGCCUUCCAGAUUCGGUGCUUCAUAGCUGACAAUCCAAUCGUACUUGCAUUAGUUUGUGUCAAGUACUUUUGAUUGUAGUUAAGACAUUUUUUGUUGUUGCACUAAUCAACUACCGAAAGAGCUUGUAACAUUUAUAUCCAGGCCAGAACUCAAGGUAGAUCUCUCCUACUUCUUGUUGUCACAUUUGUUUCCACUCCUGUUUACCCAAAAAAGGGAUUAUUUUUAUGCCUUCCCUACGGAGGUUCAGACAUAAGGUUGCGUAGGCGUGAUCGCAGCAGCAAGACCCUUUUUGUACGCGUGUGUGUGCGUGUGUGUGAGAAGCAGGGUAGUCCAUGCCUCUAAGGCUGUCUCAGUUCUGUCUGAGAGACUUGCUUCUAACAGACCACUAAGCUGAGUGGCUGAAUUGAGUUAGUGGCUACAGACAGGCUUUUAAUUGUUGAUUGACCAGUCUGAGUGCUGCCUGGGCUGGGGUCACUGAGGAGAACAGACAGUGAGGUCCCAAGGCCCCAGCUGUAAUUUUAGCCACGUCUCCCCAAAGCGAUGUGGAGAGGAGAAAAAAAAAA